rnacentral:rRNA from 1 species
UGUGUAGGCGGUUCUCUAAGUUUGGUGUGAAAUCUCCCGGCUCAACCGGGAGGGUGCGCCGAAAACUGGAGGGCUAGAGUGCGGGAAGGGAGAGUAGAAUUCCUGGUGUAGCGGUGAAAUGCGUAGAUAUCAGGAGGAAUACCGGUGGUGCAGACGGCUCUCUGGACCGCUACUGACGCUGAGACACGAAAGCGUGGGUAGCAAACAGGAUUAGAUACCCUGGUAGUCCACGCCCUAAACGAUGCAUAUUUGGUGUAGGUCAUUCAGUUGAUCUGUGCCGGAGCUAACGCGUUAAAUGUGCCGCCUGGGGAGUACAGUCGCAAGGCUGAA